GAUAGGAAUUCUAGCAAGUCAAUAUGUAAGGCACAAAUAUGAUUAUUAUUUAGAUAUAUACACAGAUGGGUCUAAGGAUGAAAAUGAGAGAGUGGGCAUAGGAAUACAUAAACCCUCAAUGAACAUCAAUAUUGGAAAUAGGAUACCUGAUAAGAUCUCAGUAUAUACAGCAGAAAUGAUGGCAGUCAUUAUGGGGCUACAGUGGGUAGAGGAGGUCAGACCAGAUAGGGUAGUAUUUUGUGUAGAUUCAAUGGCAGUCCUUCUUAGUUUACAAACUACAAAUUCUGACAGGGAAGACUUAAUGCUGGAAAUUCAGCAAAACUUAUAUAGAUUAUAUAGGAUAGGGAUGGAAGUUAAAUUUUGUUGGGUACCUGCCCAUGUGGGUAUAAAAGGCAAUGAAGGAGCAGACAGAAUGGCCAAAAAAGCAAUCAGAAUGACAAAUAUUAUAGAUAUACCAUUUGGAAAAGGAGAAACUAAGGCAAUACUCAAAAAAGAAAUAAUGAAGAAAUGGCAAGAUAGAUGGGACAGGGAUAACAACGGAAGGAAAUAUUACAGGGUACAGAAGUCCAUUACAGCAC